GUAUGUCGAUGCAACACACAUCAGAACCGAUGAACUUAAGUCAAUAGAAAUCCCUGCAGGUACACGGAACUAGGUGAGUUCAAUGGUCACAUUCGGGCCGAGAGAGAUCAACGCUCGUAGCUUCGUGUCCGCCUUGUCCAUGCAAUUGCCAGCCUUCGCUGCUGUCAGUGAGGUUCUGGAAACCCGAGAUCGAACUGGCAAAUAACUCCUGUCAGUUAGCACGGUCACUCCACGUCGCGAUGGUGUUUUAAUGAGUUUGAUAUCGUGCUUCAGUGCACAACGCUCUAGAUGAGUCCGUUGGCUCGACGCAAGUCUGAGGAAAAACGUGUUGUCAUGCGAUGCUAAAUCAGUCAUAUUGGACAAGUGGUGCUUGAAGAGUGCCGGCGCAGCUUCUACAUUCUCGGAGGUUGAGCAGUUGAUUGUUUUGCCAUCAAUCUGGCGCGGGCUUGCCCGCACCUAGUGGAGAAUAGCGUUUUCGAUGCGUUUUUGGUGAUUGUAUUUUGAGUUUUAAGUUAGGCUGUGGCCACAUCAAAAUGGACACAUGCGCAGAUGAAGUCGAAGCUUGUGCGUUUCAUAGAAGGAUAGACCUAUUAGGAUCAAGGCUAUGCAAGCCCACAUGGUGGAUCUGACAGUUUUGAACCGAGACAGGAGCAAGCUGUUACAGAAACAUUCAAAUCAACAAACCGGUUUGAAACGGUUUAAGGAAUGAUCUGUGUGUACAAGCUUGACAACCUCACAAACAACAAUUACACUAACUACGUUUAACAAGUGCUUUUGUAGGUUUUAGAACGGCAAAAACCAAGGGCAUAAUCACUUUAGUUGUGCAGUCUUUGAAUUUAUUGUAAUCCAUGUGCACAAAGAAAAUACAAGAAGAAAUAUUCUUAUUUUUCAUACUCUCCAUAUAUACAACUGUUGCUAAU
rnacentral:lncRNA from 1 species